rnacentral:pre_miRNA from 1 species
UGUCUGGCUCAGUAGAAGAAUAUCUUGUUGUCUGGCUCACUAGACAACAAGAUAUUCUUCUACUGAGCCAGACA